AGGACACAGACUUCCAGCCUGUGGUCUGAGAAGGCUGUAAGACUGGCUAAGAGAUAUUGAAGUGCAGGCGCCUAAAGAAUUAUCUUUCUAUGGUCUGUUGGCUAUUUCAGAACUUUGGAAAUGUAAUGGUCAAUUCAUUAGAAAGAAACAGUA
ensembl:snoRNA